rnacentral:rRNA from 1 species
GGAUUAGAUACCCUGGUAGUCCACGCCGUAAACGAUGUCUACUAGCCGUUGGGAAACUUGAUUUCUUAGUGGCGCAGCUAACGCGAUAAGUAGACCGCCUGGGGAGUACGGUCGCAAGAUUAAAACUCAAAUGAAUUGACGGGGGCCCGCACAAGCGGUGGAGCAUGUGGUUUAAUUCGAUGCAACGCGAAGAACCUUACCAAGACUUGACAUCCUGCGAACUUUCUAGAGAUAGAUUGGUGCCUUCGGGAACGCAGAGACAGGUGCUGCAUGGCUGUCGUCAGCUCGUGCUG